rnacentral:rRNA from 1 species
ACUCCUACGGGAGGCAGCAGUGGGGAAUAUUGGACAAUGGGGGCAACCCUGAUCCAGCAAUGCCGCGUGAGUGAUGAAGGCCUUCGGGUUGUAAAGCUCUUUUGGCGGGGACGAUGAUGACGGUACCCGCAGAAUAAGCCCCGGCUAACUUCGUGCCAGCAGCCGCGGUAAUACGAAGGGGGCUAGCGUUGUUCGGAAUUACUGGGCGUAAAGGGCGCGUAGGCGGUCCUGAUCGUCGGAUGUGAAAGGCCUGGGCUCAACCUGGGAACUGCAUCCGAUACGGCGGGACUGGAGUGUGGGAGAGGUUGGUGGAAUUCCCAGUGUAGAGGUGAAAUUCGUAGAUAUUGGGAAGAACACCGGUGGCGAAGGCGGCCAACUGGACCACAACUGACGCUGAGGCGCGAAAGCGUGGGGAGCAAACAGGAUUAGAUACCCUGGUAGUCCACGCUGUAAACGAUGCGUGCUAGACGUUGGGCACCCUAGGUGUCCGGUGUCGUCGCUAACGCUUUAAGCACGCCGCCUGGGGAGUACGGCCGCAAGGUUAAAACUCAAAGGAAUUGACG